rnacentral:rRNA from 1 species
CCUACGGGUGGCUGCAGUGAGGAAUAUUGGUCAAUGGGCGCAAGCCUGAACCAGCCAAGUCGCGUGAGGGAUGACGGUCCUAUGGAUUGUAAACCUCUUUUGUCGGGGAGCAAGGCCCGCCACGUGUGGCGGGAAGGAGAGUACCCGACGGAAAAGCAUCGGCGAACUCCGUGCCAGCAGCCGCGGUAAUACGGAGGAUGCGAGCGUUAUCCGGAUGUAUUGGGUUUAAGGGGUGCGUAGGCGGAAUAUAAAGUCAGCGGUAAAAAUUCGGGGCUCACCCCCGGCGUGCCGUUGAAACUGAUGUUCUGGAGUGGGCGAGAAGUAGGCGGAAGGCGAGGUGUAGCGGUGAAAUGCAUAGAUAUCACGCAGAACUCCGAUGGCGAAGGCAGCAUACCGGCGCCCAACUGACGCUGAAGCACGAAAGCGUGGGUAUCGAACAGGAUUAGAUACCCCAGUAGUC